rnacentral:rRNA from 1 species
AUACGUAGGGUGCAAGCGUUAAUCGGAAUUACUGGGCGUAAAGCGUGCGCAGGCGGUUUUGUAAGACAGUGGUGAAAUCCCCGGGCUCAACCUGGGAACUGCCAUUGUGACUGCAAGGCUGGAGUGCGGCAGAGGGGGAUGGAAUUCCGCGUGUAGCAGUAAAAUGCGUAGAUAUGCGGAGGAACACCGAUGGCGAAGGCAAUCCCCUGGGCCUGUACUGACGCUCAUGCACGAAAGCGUGGGGAGCAAACAGGAUUAGAUACCCUGGUAGUCCACGCCCUAAACGAUGUCAACUGGUUGUUGGGUCUUCAUUGACUCAGUAACGAAGCUAACGCGUGAAGUUGACCGCCUGGGGAGUACGGCCGCAAGGUUGAAACUCAAAUGAAUUGACGGGG